rfam:Mus musculus chromosome 3, GRC primary reference assembly.
UCCCCCGGCAAUGGGCAAAAAACCACAUUAUUGGUGGUGGUGUUCUCAUAUCAGUCAGGGGCAGAUCAGAGGGCGGUCCUUUGUCCCUCCAGCUUGAUGGCUGGCUUGGUGGCCAAAGCUGUUUUAUGCCUAGGACUCAUAA